rnacentral:lncRNA from 10 species
CACCUUUUCUCAUGCCCCAUGUUUGGGCACCAAAAUGAUGCAGAACUUUGCUCCUUCAUUCAGCUAAAAUCAGGUUCUUAUCACAUGACCAGGAAAGAUAAGGCACACGGACACACUGAAGGGUGACUAGAGUGGAAUAUAUUGGGUGAAAAGGAAAAAAGUAAAAAAAAAAAAAAAAAAAACCCUCAGCAAAGUGAGAGGGGAUGCUGACAGCAGGCUUCCAUCUCAUAGAAUGAUUUACAGGCCACCACACAGGAGCUGAUGAGGCCAGGCUUCUCACUCCCUGUACAAGGCACGAACUUCCCAUGGCUUCACCCCAUUCUUCCAGUGCACAGGGUCCAUAAAACUACAGCCUCCCCUUGUCUGGGCUACCUCAACAAUGAGGACUACCACAUCUGCGCCAACCCUCCUGAUCCCUGAACCAGUGCACCUGUUCCAUGGGGCAAAAUGGAAAAGGCCCUUUCUCUUAUUUUAGCUUCUUGCUUUUACUAUCAAGGUGUUUUCGCAUCUUGAAAACAUGUUUAUGUUUAGUAUGCCCAUCUGCCUGUCCUUCCGUGAUAUUUUUUUCUGGAUACAAAGAUCUAAAUUAAACACUGCCAUUCCUCACUUCACAGAACUUGGAUCAGAAUAUUCACAUGAGAUACAGAAACAGCACAGGAAGGAAAAUUCCAAGAGGAGACUAACAGUUUCCCUGAUUUGAGGAAAUAAAAUUGAAAGUCCAGAGUGAUCAAGUCAUUGAAGCACAAUGAGAAACGUUUGGAGAUGUGCAGAAGUUGUCCUUGGAACAUUAAAUGAGUGCAUAUCUGCACAUACCUGAGGGAAAACCACUCCUGAUUUGCCUGAUCCCGGAACUGUGUAACUGCAUAGCUGACACAGACAGAGGUGUUCCCAAGAAGAAUAAAAAGCAGAAGCAAAACAAAGAAAACAAAAGGGAUAUAAUUCUGCAUCAGUCUUCCUCCAUCAUGAAUAUCCAUCUGGUAGCAGUGGAAGGUAUUCGAGUUACAUGGCACCAAAAUAUGUUACCAGCAGGUCUGCAGCAACCUCAUUCUUGCCUCCUCAGAAGAAAGAAUUUGAAGGACAUAAGGGAGAAGGAGAGACCAAGGGAGACUGCCUUUCUCUGGCACUGACUGUGACCAAUGAUUAUUUUAGAGAAACAGUUAACAACUGCCUGACCAUCAACUGAUGGUCGUCUGACAUUCCAGGUGGUGCGGGAAGCCCUCUCCUGCCCUGCUCAUGCCUUACUAGCUACCUACUGUAACACACCUUGUCUUUAAGUAAAUGUGUCUGUUGUCCCUAUGCUUUGUAAAACUUACCCUCACAAACCCAAAGUUGACUUGUAAAGCCUAUAUCUAUCUUUGUCUUCUUGUUUUCUUUAGAAUUUAGAUCAAAACUUAUCUAUUAGGGAGGCUAUUUCCACAGAUUAGUGUGGUCCCAUAAAAUUUAUUUUCACUCCAUUAAUUAAGGUUAGAGAGCAGCACUGUGUGGUGUUUAAGAACUGGUUUUGAAUCAAAUUGCUUGUUUGAAUCUUGACUCUACUACUUACCAUCAGUACCAAAGGCUUGGAAUAAUUUAUGACACAUAAUAAGUGUUCAUUAUAUGUGUGUUUGAAUGAUGAUUUUUAACACCAUGCAUAGAAAUUUGAACUAUUGUAACUGCCUAAGGGGUUCUUCCUGCCCACUGCAUAAAAAGAGACCACAGUAUCUUAGUAAAGAAAGAGUUUUAUAGACACUAGGCCAGCCACGCCAUAUGGGAGAUUGGCGUUGGUACUCAAAUCAUCUCAUGCAAAGCUUAUAGGUUAGAGGAUUUUUAAAGGCAGUUUGGGGGAAGGGGUGGCAGUGGCUAGCUGUUUGUUGCUGAUUGGUUGGGUUGGAGAUACAAUCAUAGGAGACGGGAGCUGUCUUCCUGUGAGCUGAAUCUCUUCUGGGUGGGGACAUAGGAGCUAAGUUGGAGGGUCCAGGUGGGGCCUUCAAGGUGGAGCCAUGGCAGACAUGCAAAAACCUGAAAAGAUUUCCCAGGAGUAAUUGGGGAAGCAGCAUAUCUUAUAACCUUCCAGAAUAAUGCCUGACAAUUGUCUAUGUCUGCGCCUUAGCAGCACUCCGUUUCCUCUCCUCUCCCCAGCCUGAUGCCCUCCUAUUAGCUUUACAAAAGCUAUUGAGUUUUGGGCAAGGCCUAUUAUCAUUUAAACUAUAGCCUGAAUGACUUCCAAAGUUAGCUUGGCCCAGUAGCCUAGGAUUAAUUAAGGGAAAGGCAAAAUGGUGGUUGUGCUAGCUUAGCUUACUAAUAUAAUUUUUCUCACUAAUAUAUUUUUUGCAAAGUCGAUUUCACUGUAAACAAGGCCUACACAGGUCUAUUGGUUUCUAGUCAAAUACAGUAUUAAGAAGUUACUGUUAAUCAAGCACUGUGUCUAUUACUAGAGAAAAAACACAUCACCACCACCACCACCACCCCCACCAAGUCCCCUGGCACUGACUUUUUGUUUUUUGUUUACAUGUAGGUAGGAAAUUUUGUUUUGUUUUGUUUUUUUGACAGUGUCUAACUCUUGUCUCCCAGGCUGGAGUGCAGUGGCAUAAUCUCCGCUCACUGCAACCUCCGUCUCUCACGUUCAAGCGAUUCUCCUGCCUCAGCCUCCCAAGUAGCUGGGAUUACAGGUGCCUGCCACCACGCCCAGCUAAAUUUUGUAUUUUUUCAAGUAGAGACAGGGUUUUACCAUGUUGGCCAGGCUGGUCUGAAAUUCCUGAUCUCAAGUUGUAGCAGAACGAGCCGCAGACAAAACCCCUCAGACACUGAGUUAAAGAAGGAAGGGCUUUAUUCGGCCAGGUGCAUCAGCAAGACUCACAUCUCAAAAACCGAGCUCCCCAAGUGAGCAAUUCCUGUCCCUGUUAAGAGCUUACAAUUCUAAGGGGGUCCACGUGAGAGGGUUGUGAUCGAUUGAGCAAGCAGGGGGUAUGUGACUGGGGGUUUCAUGCACCAGUAAUCAGAACAGAACAGAACAGGACAGGGAUUUUCACAGUGCUUUUCCAUACAAUGUCUGGAAUCUACAGAUAACAUAACCGGUUAGGUCAGGGGUGGAUCUUUAACUACCAGGCCUGGAAUGCAGCACUGGGCUGUCUGACUACUGAUUUCACUUCUGUCUUUUCUUUAACUCCUACCUUUUCUUUGAGGCAGAAAUUGGGCGUAAGACAAUAUGAGGGGUGGUCUCCUCCCUUAAAGUGAUCCAUCUGCCUCAGCUUUCCAAAUUGCUGGGAUUACAGGCAUGAGCCACUGCCCCCAGACUAUUUUGUUUACUUCUAGUUUAAGUGGGUAAAAUUUAAGACAACAGAAGAACACUGAAGAAAUGUAGAAUGGAAGGAAAGAAUAGAGAAAGACAGUAUAAUGUAUCAAAUAAUAACUGACACUAGCAAGACAUUUCAUAAUAUGAACUAACUCCUUAUCUAAUUCUUAGCUGGUAUUUUCAUCAACCUUGAAAAUAUGAAGAUCAGUAUUGACAGCAAAGAUUCCAUCUUUGAUGUGUUAUAUUUUUGUCAAUUAUUAAACUUAUUGACACUUGUAUAAUGUUAUUAAAGAAUUUGGUACUACGAAUAAGUCUGCAAUAAUACUAAUUGUGUGUGUGUGUGUGUGUGUGUGUAUCAGUAUAUAUCAGUUAUUCUAAAUAACUAGUGAGUGUUUUAAAAAGUGUUUUGGUUAAAAACUACUACCUACGUAAAAACAAAUACAUUUUUGUGUGAUGAUGUAUGGACACAUGUUCAUUUAUUAAUGGGAAAAAGAUUUGAGAAAAAGAGAGGAUAAAAUAGGUACUUCUGUCUACUUGAAGUGAGUAAAACUGAUCAGUUAAACUUCAGCUUUAUUAGAAAAUUUAAGUUUAAAGUGAUCAAAUAUGUGGAGGAAAUUCAGCUAAAAAUUUCUAAGUAGAAAUAUAUAGUUUUACAAAUUGCAACAAAAUGAAGCAAAGAAAACUCAAAACAUCAAAACAUAGGAAAAGACAUGUAUAAUCAAACUAAUAAAAUGAUAGAUUAACAUGAAACAAAAUUAUAAAAUAUUUUCAUUCACCUCAGAAAUCACAAUCACAUGAAUAGGUUAAAGCUACUAAUGUAAAGGCACUGUCUUCCUAUUGGAAUUUCACUCCCUCUCCCUCUCCUCAAAGGCUCUAUGUCUUUGACAUGAGAGGGCUUUAAAACUAAAUGAUACAAAAAAACUUAAAAAUAAAUGUAGUAGAAAGAUAUACCAAAUGUAUAUCACCAAAAUUAAGGUUGAUUUAUUAUUUGUAUUGUAAAACAAAUGAAGAUUUCAAGGUGUAUAGUAUUCAAAGGACAAAAAUUAUAUUUUAUAUUGAUAAAAGCCCUUUUUCCACACAAGUCAAUAACCUUAUUCUUACAAUUUUUGAUACAAACACAUUAUUAUUUGAUCAGAAUAUUGUGUGCAGUUUGCACUUUUUGUAUUGUCCGUUAUCAGCCAAAGAAACAGCUAUUUCUCCAAUUAUCAACUUUUUUAUUAUAUUGGAGAGUGGUUUUUAAAACCAAGAUCUGGGUGCUAUGUGGACAUGUAGUUCCUGGGAGGUCAUUGUGUCUAGAUUAUUUCAGAACAAAAAAUAUACUGAAAAUACUGAAAUAUAUACUAAAAAAUAUGCUGA